ACGCUCGACACCUACGGGGGGCAGCAGUGGGGAAUAUUGCACAAUGGGGGAAACCCUGAUGCAGCGACGCCGCGUGAGCGAAGAAGUAUUUCGGUAUGUAAAGCUCUAUCAGCAGGGAAGAAAAUGACGGUACCUGACUAAGAAGCACCGGCUAAAUACGUGCCAGCAGCCGCGGUAAUCUGAGCGGGCUGGCAAGGC
rnacentral:rRNA from 1 species